CUUACCGGAACGCUUGGUGGCCAUUGGUGUAACAGUAGUCCAAUGUCCUGUAUGAGGGUCGUAUUUCUCAACUGAAUUUAAGAUAUUCAAGCCAUCAUAUCCUCCUGGAAGACAGAGACCACUGCAGGAUGAGUGAAAACAUGAGAGGUUAAAAACCUGGUCCAGCCACAGUAAGAUGGAAAUAUUGCCCUGCUUAUCAAGCCUACCUCCCAGGGUGGUGGCUCCAGCAAGACCUCGUCGGACAUUCAUAGGGGCCACAGAAUACCAGACCCCAUCCUCAUCUGCUGUGUAGUCUAGACAUUCCACUGAACUAAGGCGGGAACGGCCAUCAUAGCCACCAAUGACGUAGAUCCGGUCAUGUAGGGACACUGAGGCCACAUAACGUCUCUUACGAGUGAUGCUCUAUGGAUUUGGAGAGAAGAGGUACAGAGCAUUUCAGUUAGAAACAGAGUUCCACCAUACUGCCCAGGCUGGUCUUGAACUCCUGGCCUCAAGAGAUCGUCCCAUCUCAGCCUCCCAAAGUGCUGGGAUUAUAGGUGUGAGCUACCACGCUCUGUCCAAACUUCUGAGCUCAAUUGAACACUGGGUUCAAUUCAACACAAUUUAACAUUGGGUUUACUUUAACAAAACAUGACCAAUGAAAUGUGCUGGGAAUUAUAAAGACAGCUUAGAAAAGCACCUAACUAGUGGUGGCCAUCUGAUUUAACCUGACACAGGGCCACUAACAUUUCUAAGGUAUAAUCUUCUAAUCUAAACAGUAAAAAAACUGUUUACUGAGUACCUACUAUGUGCACAAGACUGCUGUAAGAAACAACCUGUUAUUAGGCUUUUCUACUCUUACAGUUGGAUUAGCUAUGCUCUGGAGCCAGAGACUGAGGAAUUUAAGCUCCCUCCCAACAAAUGGUUUCACCAUUAUUUACCGGC